ACAUCCAUGUGGAAAUCGCGGUGAUGGGAACUGGAAAUGAAAUAGGUUCUUUUUCGCAGUUGUUUUUCUGCAGAAAAUCAUCAACUGUGGAGAAGAAGAAGGGAAAUAAGAAAGAAAGAAAACCCUAAAAACCACCCUGGCGCCCGGGCCCGCAGGCCUCGGGCCGGCUCUGAAAAGUUUGGGCUGUGCACGUGAUGAGCGCGUAGGCGGGAGCCCCAGACAGGACCCGGGCGGGCAUUUCGAGAAAAAGCAGCGGUGACAGCCUUUGGUCCCCAUCUCCAUUGUUCCUGCCAGCUCUGGACCCCAGGCUGCAUGAGACUCUAGUUUGGGGUCUCUAUAAUCCUGCUCCUUUGGCUGCCAGCCAUCUCCAUAAAAAAAGAAUUUGAAAGGCUUCCAUUCUUUCAGAGACCUGUUUCCCGGGACUGGCUGCAAGGGAGAGAUGCACUGACCUUCUGCCAGGUAUAGAACUAUUGAAUGGUACAGUUUGAGAUCUUCGAAACCAUCAGGACUGAUCAUUUUCUGGCUACUUUCUACAUAGGAAUCCUAGAGUUCCUUGGAGAGGAUAUGAAGGUUAUUCUCAGGCCAUGCAGAUGGGCAAGAAAGGAUGUGCGUCCAUGGUUCCUCUUCAAAUCCAACCAAAACAGCCUUGCUUCCGUUGGCUUUAUAUAAUACUGCAACUCUUGAUAAUCUGAUUUAACACAAAUUUCCUCAUUGAGUUUCUCCUCAUGAAGAAACGGCCUCAGUGAGGUAAAUCGGAAUGCACAGGAGCACAUAGCAGGUUAGUGCAGACCAGAAAUCAAACCCAGGCUUUCUGACUGCUCAAUAGACCACAAUCUACCAUGCUACCAUGGAAACUUUAAAACAGAUGAAAGUAAAAACAAACAAACAACAACUUAAAAAAACAAAAACAAAAACAAAAGCAAAACCCAGAGCCUCUCUAGGAAAUACCAACGUGCUUUUGCCAAGUGGGGUUUCUCUCACUUCAUAAGAGCAGUAAACACUAAACCAAGGGAAUGUGAAUUUAGAGGUUAGAAAAGAUAACCAGAGAUUUGGCCGUGCGUGGGGCUCAUGCCUGUAAUCCCAGCACUUUGGGAGGCUGAGGCUGGUGGGUUGCCUGAGGUCAGGAGUUUGAGACCAGCCUGGCCAACAUAGUGAAACCCUGUCUCUACUAAAAAUACAAAAAUUAGCUGGGUGUGGUGGCGUGCACCUGUAAUCCCAGCUACUAGGGAGGCUGAGGCAGGAGAAUCGCUUGAACUGGAGAGGUGGAGGUUGCAGUGAGCCGAGAUGGUGCCAUUGCACUCCAGCCCGGGCAAGAAGAUUGAAAUUCCAUCUCAAAAAAAAAAAAAAAAGAAGAAGAAGAAGAAAAGAUGCCAGAGAUUUGGCGGGGUGCCGGGCUCAUGCCUGUAAUCCCAGCACUUUGGGAGGCCAAAUGGACAGAUCACUUAAAGUUAGGAGUUCCAGAAAAGAUGCCAGAGGUUGGGCCUUUACAUUGUUUUGUAAAUUCGUCAAACCUUAAUCUUAUUUAACUUCCCCACCUAUACAAAAAUUAAUGCAGUAAUUGCUUUUUAAGGAAGCAUUCCAAAGGCCAAAUAAUUCAUAUAUGUCAAGUACCCUGGGAUUCAGGAAAGAAAAAUUCUCUAUAGCUCUAAAGCAAGGAUUAUAAUUUGAGGUUUCCUGACAGUUUUUUUUAAGAAAAGAAAUACCAACCUUUCUUUUCUGGGCCAAAUGCCAAGGUAGGUAAUAACCCCUUGCCCAUUUUCUUUCCCCAAGCUGUUUUAACUAGAUAAGAGCUCUGCCUUCAUUUCCUUUUGUGAACUGACUUGGGAUGUUGCCACAUGCCCUUCAACUACUGUCAAUGCUCUAGUUUGCUGAGUGCUUUCCCCUUCAGAAUGGAAAAGGUUUUGGCAUAAAUAUCUAGCUUUCUUCAAGGUACAAAAUGCUUUCCAAGGAGCAGAGGACAGAGGGAACAAACUUUCAUGUUUCCCAAUUGUAUUAGUCUGUUCUCAUGCUGCUAAUAAAGACAUACCCAAGACUGUGUAAUUUAUAAAGGAAAAAGGUUUUACUGACUCACAGUUCCACAUGGCUGGGGAGGCCUCACAAUCAUGGUGGAAGAUGAAGGAAGAGCAAAGGGAUGUCUUCCAUGGCCAGCAAAAAGAGAAUGAAAGCCAAGGGAAGGAGAAAACACCUUAUAAAAUCAUCAGAUCUCAUGAGACUUAUUCACUACCAUGACAACGGUAUGGGUGAACUGCCCCCAUGAUUCAGUUAUCUCCCACCGGGUCCCUCCCACAAAAUGUGGGAAUUAUGGGAGCUACAAUUCAAGAUGAGAUUUGGGUGGGGACAGAGCCAAACCAUAGCACCAAUACUAGAUCCCUCAGCUUCAAGGUGGCUCCAGUGAUCCUAAGAGGAUCAAGGAAGCCCUACCUCCCUGCUUGUCCUGGAUGUCUCUGACACAUGUUAAGGGAAAAGCAUUAAUAAAGUGCUCAAGAAACAAUUGUUCAAUAGGUCAGUCUUAUAGUCAAUACCUCAUCCCAUGCUCUGUCCCCUACUCUUUGAAAAACUGCCCAAAGAAACAAUGGAUCCACGGAGUCACAAAAACAGGGCAUCCAGUGACCCUCCCCAUCUUACCAGCAAUGUGACUUUCCCACAGUAUAACGACAGCAGUGCCCAGAGCCCAAUACAAGCAGGGCUCUACACUGAGACAGAGCUGAGUUCUAGUAGCAACUACCCUCCUUAUAGCAGUGUUAUUUUAGGCAAGUUUCUCAGCUUCUGGAAGGUUCUUUUCUCAGGCUUACAUACUUUUUACCCGAAAAGAUCUUGGAGUCGUCCAUAUCAGCACAAGCAAUCUACAUUAUUAGUUUUUUUAAUGGCUGCACAGCAUUCCAUGAUAUGGCUGUACCAUUACUUAACUAUCGAUGAACAUUUAGGCAGUUUCCAGUCUCUUUCUGCAGGAGCCAAUGCUGCAAUGUGGUGGGUCAUAACUUUUUCUUUUUUUCAAAUGUGGUCUCACUAUUUCUUCCAGGCUGGAGUGUAGUGGUAUGAUCACAGCUCACUGCAGCCUCGAACUCCUGGACUCAAACAAUCCUCCUGUCUCAGCCUCCAGAGCAACUGGGAGUACAGGUGUGUGCCACCAUGCCUGACUAAGUUUUUAAAUUUUUUGUAGAGAUGGGGUCUUGCUAUAUUGACCAGGCUGGUCUUGAACUUCUGGCCUCAAGAAAUCCUCCCACCUGGGCCUCCCAGAGUGCUGGGAUUACAGGAAUGCACCACUGUGCCCAGCCCUAAAUAACUAUUUUUAUUUCCCUUUCUGUAACCGCUCAUCUUUUGUGCAUUUUUCCUUGGGUAUUGGCCUUCUUAUCAAAGUUUAAGAACUGUUUAUAUAUAGGGAUUAACCCUUAGUCUGUUGUAUGAAUUGCAAAUAUACAUGUAUUUUUAUUUGUAUAUGCAAAGUUUGUCUUUUAUCUUUGUAUAUGGGAUAGUUUUCCAAACACAGUUUUAUUUUAUUUUAUUUUUCAUCUUGCAUGUCUUUCCAAAGUACCAAGCAGAGUUUUUUUAAAAGUUGUUUUAUGGCUUCUGGGUUUUUUAAGUCAUAUUUAGAAAGAUCUUUCCCACUCUGAAAUUAAAAAAAUAAAUAAAUAAAAUCUCCCAAUUAAAAAAAAUUUGUGACUUUGUUUUUCAUAUUUAAAUAUUUAUUCCAUCUGGAAUUUAUUUUAUUUUAAGCUGUAAAGUAGAGACCUCAUUUUAUUGUAUUUCUCCAUAUGGCCACCCAGUUGUUACAAUACCAUUUACUAAAUAAUACAUCAAUUG
rnacentral:lncRNA from 1 species